AUUGAACGCUGGCGGCAGGCCUAACACAUGCAAGUCGGACGGUAGCACAGAGGAGCUUGCUCCUCGGGUGACGAGUGGCGGACGGGUGAGUAAUGUCUGGGGAUCUGCCCGAUAGAGGGGGAUAACCACUGGAAACGGUGGCUAAUACCGCAUAACGUCGCAAGACCAAAGAGGGGGACCUUCGGGCCUCUCACUAUCGGAUGAACCCAGAUGGGAUUAGCUAGUAGGCGGGGUAAUGGCCCACCUAGGCGACGAUCCCUAGCUGGUUUGAGAGGAUGACCAGCCACACUGGAACUGAGACACGGUCCAGACUCCUACGGGAGGCAGCAGUGGGGAAUAUUGCACAAUGGGCGCAAGCCUGAUGCAGCCAUGCCGCGUGUAUGAAGAAGGCCUUCGGGUUGUAAAGUACUUUCAGCGGGGAGGAAGGCGAUGUGGUUAAUAACCUUGUCGAUUGACGUUACCCGCAGAAGAAGCACCGGCUAACUCCGUGCCAGCAGCCGCGGUAA
rnacentral:rRNA from 1 species